rnacentral:rRNA from 1 species
ACUGAUAUGAAGAGCUUGCUCGGAUUUGAAGAUGAACAUUGCAAAGAGUGGCGAACGGGUGAGUAACACGUGGGAAACCUACCUCUUAGCGGGGGAUAACACUUGGAAACAAGUGCUAAUACCGCAUAAUACUGAUAACCGCAUGGUUAUCAGUUGAAAGAUGGUUCUGCUAUCACUAAGAGAUGGUCCCGCGGUGUAUUAGCUAGUUGGUAAGGUAAUGGCUUACCAAGGCAAUGAUACAUAGCCGAGUUGAGAGACUGAUCGGCCACAAUGGGACUGAGACACGGCCCAUACUCCUACGGGAGGCAGCAGUAGGGAAUCUUCCACAAUGGACGAAAGUCUGAUGGAGCAACGCCGCGUGUGUGAUGAAGGGUUUCGGCUCGUAAAACACUGUUGUAAGAGAAGAAUGACAUUGAGAGUAACUGUUCAGUGUGUGACGGUAUCUUACCAGAAAGGAACGGCUAAAUACGUGCCAGCAGCCGCGGUAAUACGUAUGUUCCAAGCGUUAUCCGGAUUUAUUGGGCGUAAAGCGAGCGCAGACGGUUGUUUAAGUCUGAAGUGAAAGCCCACAGCUUAACUGUGGAAGUGCUUUGGAAACUGGAUAACUUGAGUGCAGUAGAGGAGAGUGGAACUCCAUGU